CAGUAUGGUGAAAGACUUUAGGCAAGCAGCAAGUCUUACUGGGCUGUGGGACCUCUGGCGCCUUAUUAAGUGCAGCCAUAGGAGUGGGCCCUGCCAAAGAGACAACAGGUUCCAGAUUCAUCCAGUGUUCGAGAAAAGCCAGACAAGGUAGAAGCUGUAAAGUGGACCUUAAUACUGCCAGAGCUGGAGCCUGUGAGCUAGAGGUGGUCAUUAGCUGGCAGCAUUAGCAAUGUAAACAAUGUUUGAGUUAUAAGUGCAGGGAUCAUUGGAAACAGCGUCUGCAGUUAUUACCCAUGGGAGAGAUUACAGAGUUAAUCUACCUGGCUGAGCAGUUCCACCGAUGCCGACUUCCUUCCCUGUAAAAGCACAGAAGGAUAAUCUCUGAUUCCAUGAUUAAUGAACUGUUAGUUUCAUUGACAACACAAACCAUAAAAAGCAUCACCUGGUUUCACAGGAACGCCGGUGGAUAGGGAGCCAUUAGGAACGCCGCUGACAGACGUCUCUGGAACUGCAAUAGGUCCAACACCUACGGCAUGAAGCACAAAGACUAACAGCUUGAGAAUGUAGAGAAUCUCUUACCUCCACCGGGUCCAGUUCCAGUGACUCCCGGCCGUACUCCUGCACCUAAUACAGCAGAAAGAGUUUACAGGUUUGUCUUAGAAAGCUGCAGCAAAUCUGACCAAAUAAGCUGAAUAUUGUUCCAGUUACCGUUUCUUCCCUGAGCGGGUGGAUAGAUGGACACCACUGAAGUGGAGAGAACAGCAGCCCAGCACAGCUGAAUGUUCUAAUGGGCAGCAGAGGUGUUCACACACAUAAAGAUGAAAUAAGACCCCCAGGGACCAAUUGGGAACUACUCUGACUUUGGACCUUGGGCUGGGAGAUCAAUACUCUACACAGAAGAUGGAAGGGACAGGAACCCGAUACUACCCAGGAGAGUUCACCUGUUGGACCUUACCUCCUUGAAGAGAUGAGUGAAUGAGAAAAAGAAGGACGACUCCACAGAAGAGCAGGGGAGCGUUUCUGUUGGCCAUCUCGCUCCAGAAUGCACCACCCCUCUCUCUUCAGCUGGUUUUAUUCUCUCCGAGCUAAUUACCGCUUCCCCGAGGUCUCAAAGAGCAGAGAGGUAGAGGGAGAAAGGUAAAAAUAUACAGGGGAGACUCUGUGCAAUUACAAGAGAGGAGACGACUUGCUUCUUUUCUCCCACUCUGGGUCUGCUGUUGCUGUUUUUAUUCUGUAAGCUGCUGCCAACAGCAGAGACACUGCUGCUAGCAGUGAAAGAAAGAGAGGGACACACAUACACACACACACAAAUUCACAGGCACGCCAGUCCAAAUCCAAAAGGAAUUAAGGUGCCUGCCAAACAUUAGGAUAGAUACACAGAAAUAUCUGUGCAAGUCAGAAAGAGUAUAAAGAAGAGCAAGUUGCAUACCAGAAUGAUAAUUUAUUUUUCUAGAGUUUCAUAUUACUAGAUCAUGACAAGGAGGACAAAAAAAAACCUUUUUGCUGUUUGUUCGAACAAGUGAGUUAAAAACCUAGAGAGAAGGGAAACCAUAGAGGGCAAUGUCAUAGUAAAAGGAAAAACUAAGAAAUAAAAUACGUUGGCAACAAAUAUGUGAAGUGAAGUUCUGCACAGGCUGGACAGAAUUAUCUUAGUCAGACUAAGAUAAUUCCCACUGACAGCCUUUUAACAUCAAUGGAUGAAAAAAAAGUUUAAUUAGAGAGCAGUCCGCCAAGAUUAAACUAACACAAUUUUCAUUAAUAAAUUAUUUUCUUUUCCAGACAAAUUUGAGCCUUAGCUAUAGUCUGAAUAUUUCAUAACAACAAAUGUAUUGUUGUUUUCUAAAGAGUGUAAGUCAAAUCAUUAAAUAAGAUGAUACAUAUACACAUAGGUCGGCUUCUGAUUGAUUUGGCUGUAUUGGUUUUUUGGUGCAUGGACUGAUUUAGAUCAGUUUUACUUCAAAAUGUAAAAAGAAAACAAAAACACAUACUUAAGCACA